AUACGGAGGGUCCAAGCGUUAUCCGGAUUCAUUGGGUUUAAAGGGUCCGCAGGCGGGAAAAUAAGUCAGUGGUGAAAGCCUACAGCUCAACUGUAGAACUGCCACUGAUACUGUUUUUCUUGAGUAUAGAUGAAGUGGGCGGAAUAUAUCAUGUAGCGGUGAAAUGCAUAGAUAUGAUAUAGAACACCGAUUGCGAAGGCAGCUCACUAAACUAUUACUGACGCUCAGGGACGAAAGCGUGGGGAGCGAACAGGAUUAGAAACCCUAGUAGUCC
rnacentral:rRNA from 1 species